AAAGGGUCCGUAGGCGGUUUGGUAAGUCAGUGGUGAAAGCCCAUCGCUUAACGAUGGAACGGCCAUUGAUACUGCCAGACUUGAAUUACUAGGAAGUAACUAGAAUAUGUAGUGUAGCGGUGAAAUGCUUAGAUAUUACAUGGAAUACCAAUUGCGAAGGCAGGUUACUACUAGUGGAUUGACGCUGAUGGACGAAAGCGUGGGGAGCGAACAGGAUUAGAUACCCUGGU
rnacentral:rRNA from 1 species